AACUAGCCCUGAUAACAGCGGCAUCCUUUUUCUUUUUUUUCUUUAAAAAAAGAAAAAGAUACAGCGAAUAGCAGGAUAUAGC
rnacentral:sRNA from 1 species